rnacentral:rRNA from 1 species
UACGGAGGGGGCUAGCGUUGUUCGGAAUUACUGGGCGUAAAGCGCGCGUAGGCGGACCUGCAAGUCGGGGGUGAAAGCCCGAGGCUCAACCUCGGAACUGCCUUCGAUACUGCGGGUCUCGAGUCCGGGAGAGGUGAGUGGAAUUCCUAGUGUAGAGGUGAAAUUCGUAGAUAUUAGGAAAGAACACCAGUGGCGAAGGCGGCUCACUGGCCCGGUACUGACGCUGAGGCGCGAAAGCGUGGGGAGCAAACAGG